rnacentral:rRNA from 1 species
GAUGAACGCUGGCGGCAUGCCUAACACAUGCAAGUCGAGCGAACAGACGAUGAGCUCGCGCCCCUACGGGUAGCGGCGGACGGGCGGGUAACGCGUGGAUCACCAACUUAUAUGACUGGGGUAAUUACGUGAAAACACUUAUAAUAAUAGCGAAUAUAACCAACCGCUGAGUUCAGUAGAUAUUCACGGCUUGCGCGAUUCAAUGAGACGGUGUCGGGCUAGUUAGUUGAGUGGGUAAGGGCACACCAAAGCGACGAACCGGAGCUGGUCUGAGAGGAUGGUCAGCCACACUGGAAGUGAGACACGGUCCAGACUCCUACGGGAGGCAGCAGUGGGGAAUAUUGGACAAAGGGCGCAAGCCUGAUCCAGCCAGACCGCGUGGGUGAAGAAGGCCUUCGGGUUGUAAAGCCCUUUUGUUGGGAAAGAAAAGCAGCAGGUUAAUACCCCGCUGUUCUGACGGUACCCAAAGAAUAAGCACCGGCUAACUUCGUG